rnacentral:rRNA from 1 species
GAUGAACGCUGGCGGCGUGCCUAAUACAUGCGAGUCGAGCGAACGGACGAGGAGCUUGCUUCUCUGAAGUUAGCGGCGGACGGGUGAGUAACACGUGGAUAACCUACAUAUAAGACUGGGAUAACUUAGGGAAACCGGAGCUAAUAUCGGAUCAUAUAUUGAACCGCAUGGUUCAAUAGUGAAAGCCGGUUUUGCUGUCACUUAUAGAUGGAUCCGCGCCGCAUUAGCUAGUUGGUAAGGUAACGGCAUACCAAGGCAACGAUGCGUAGCCGACCUGAGAGGGUGAUCGGCCACACUGGAACUGAGACACGGUCCAGACUCCUACGGGAGGCAGCAGUAGGGAAUCUUCGGCAAUGGGCGAAAGCUUGACGGAGCAACGCCGCGUGAGUGAUGAAGGUCUUCGGAUCGUAAAACUCUGUUAGUAGGGAAGAACAAAUGUGUAAGAAACUAUGCACGUCUUGACGGUACCUAAACAGAAAGCCACGGCUAACUACGUG